UGCGGUCCAAGACCAAACUUCCCAGAUCGCCUCCACGACUCCAAUGACGAAUCUCCGGAAAUUGCUUAUGCGGCUCCCCUUCCGCUUACGCGAAAACAAUAGAAGCAGCAGCCACAUCUCAUGCAAAACUCUCCAUUUUCUUUGAUUAACAACCCGAAUUUACCACGUGGCCCCUGGGACCCCAACCAAAAGCACCAAUACUUCCUAAC
rnacentral:lncRNA from 1 species